AUUGAACGCUAGCGGCAGGCCUAACACAUGCAAGUCGAACGAGCGGCGGACGGGUGAGUAAUGACUGGGUAACUGCCCGACGGAGGGGGAUAACUACUGGAUACGGUAGCUAAUACCGCAUCCCUUCGGAUGUGCCCAGAUGGGAUUAGCUAGUAGGUGGGGUAACGGCUCACCUAGCCGACGAUCCCUAGCUGGACUGAGAGGAUGACCAGGCACACUGGAACUGAGACACGGCCCAGACUCCUACGGGAGGCAGCAGUGGGGAAUAUUGCACAAUGGGCGGAAGCCUGAUGCAGCCAUGCCGCGUGUAUGAAGGAGGCCUGCGGGUUGUAAAGGACUUUCAGCGAGGAGGCGGUACUCGCAGAAGAAGCACCGGCUAACUCCGUGCCAGCCGCCGCGGUAAUAC
rnacentral:rRNA from 1 species